rnacentral:rRNA from 1 species
UGAGGAAUAUUGGUCAAUGGAGGAAACUCUGAACCAGCCAAGUCGCGUGAAGGAAGAAUGUCCUAAGGAUUGUAAACUUCUUUAGCGAGCGAGUAAGGACUUCCACGUGAUGGGAGUUUGAAAGUAGCUCGAGAAUAAGUAUCGGCUAAUUCCGUGCCAGCAGCCGCGGUAAUACGGAGGAUACGAGCGUUAUCCGGAUUUAUUGGGUUUAAAGGGUGCGCAGGUGGUCCUGCAAGUCAGUGGUGAAAAGCUGAGGCUCAACCUCAGCCUUGCCGUGGAAACUGCAAGACUUGAGAGUACAUGAUGUGGGCGGAAUGCGUAGUGUAGCGGUGAAAUGCAUAGAUAUUACGCAGAACUCCGAUUGCGAAGGCAGCUCACAAAGGUAUGUCUGACACUGAGGCACGAAAGCGUGGGGAGCAAACAGG